rnacentral:rRNA from 1 species
GACGUAGGGGGCGAGCGUUGUCCGGAUUUAUUGGGCGUAAAGCGUGCGUAGGCGGCUGCGCAAGUCGGUUGUGAAACCCCGGGGCUCAACCCCGGAACUGCAUCCGAUACUGCGUGGCUAGAGGUAGGUAGGGGAGAUCGGAAUUCCUGGUGUAGCGGUGAAAUGCGUAGAUAUCGAGAGGAACACCUGAGGUGAAGACGGGUUGCUGGGCCGACACUGACGCUGAAGCGCGAAAGCCAGGGGAGCAAACGGG